GAUGAACGCUGGCGGCGUGCCUAAUACAUGCAAGUCGAGCGAACGGACGAGAAGCUUGCUUCUUUGACGUUAGCGGCGGGGGGGGGAGUAACAUGUGUAUAACCCACCUAUAUGACUGGGAAAAAUUCGGGAAACCGGAGCUUAGACCGGAUGAUAUUUUGAAGCGCAUGGUUGAAAAGAGACAGACGGCCUUGCUGUAGCUUAUAGCUGCUUCCGCGCUGCAUUAGCUAGUGGUGAAGGUAACGGCUUACCAAGGCAACGAUGCAUAGCCGAGCUGAGAGGAUGAUCAGCCACACUGGAACUGAGACACGGUCCAGACUCCUACGGGAGGCAGCAGUAGGGAAUCUUGCGCAAUGGGCGCAAGCCUUACGGAGCCACGCCGCGUGAGUGAGGAAGGUCUUCGGGUCGUAAAACUCUGUUAUCAGGGAGGAACAUAUUUGUAAGUAUCUGUGCACAUCUUGACGGUACCUGAUCAGAAAGCCACGGCUAACUUCGUG
rnacentral:rRNA from 1 species